rnacentral:misc_RNA from 1 species
UUGUAUGAUAGGAAAAAGUUUGGCAAUCUCGGCAUUAGGACAGGACUACUGUCCCAAUUUCCGGGUAAUCUCGGCACGGCGUUUGCAGCGCCGGUAAGAUCAGCAGGCCGCAUGGCAGCCGGAAACGGCACGCGCGAACUGCACUUUCUAAAGCGAGGCUCGUGACAGCGCGAGCGGUGGCCCCAAGAAGGAAAUUCCGAAGGGUUCCGCGAACGCCGAAGCUGCGGCCAAAAUGGGUUAAAAUAGACUGCCUCUAAAUCCAAAGAGGCGUGAGGAUGAGAAUGAGCGGGUCAGAGUUCGAGC